rnacentral:lncRNA from 1 species
GAUUUCAAUUAUGUAGGCAAGCCAAGUGCCUGGAAAUUUUGGAUCUCGUCUGAGUUUCUUUCUUCCACGAAUUUCCAACCAACUAUUGACCCUUUUGGGAAUCACCUGCCCACUGUGAAUGACAAAGCUGGAAGAGGAACAUGAUUUGCCGUCAGUCCAGUUGCUGGCAAGAACCCCCAACACGAAAACUGACCUGCUGUCAGGUGAGCUGCGUGGACAAGAACUUGGACGCCAGGCUUCAGCUCGAAGUGCACCAAGUUUUGGUUGAGUUUGUGGAUUAGAACUUCAGAUAUCUGAAAGAAGUGUUAUAGUUAGUGUCAGCAAAAUCAUCUUAAUGACUUUGAACAGCUAGCUACUCUAAGAAAUACUUUGAAUGUUCACCAAGGCCUGCUAGUAUUAUAAAGCAAAUGACAGAGAGAGAAGAUCUGUUAUACAGAGGAACUGAAUAGUAGUAUCUUGCUUAUAAUCCAAACAUUAUGGUAUGAUUUACUUUGCUUCCUUCAUUUUCUCUAAAUCAUCUCUAUGGCUUCUACGGGUAAGAACUUUAUGACUGCUGGAUAAUAACGGUUGUCAAUAGCUUAAUAAACAAUAUAGCUCAAGACAAUGCAGCCACCGUUUACGCAAUGAAUCAGUUAAUCUUUGUUUCUACAAAUAGGUGUUUAUUAAACCACUUCUGAGACUGGUACAUUAUAGACUAUGGACUAUUCAACCUGAGCAUAGGGUUUAAGUAUAAAUUACAUAAGCAAGGUAUUACAAAUAGGGUAAAAGCCCUUUCUUUUGUUUAGCAUAAAAAUUUAUUAUGCCUUGCUAACAGAUUUUGAGGAAUUUCUGAAAGGCUCCAAGGGAUAAUCUUACUACUUAUUUUCAUCUGCUUUCCUUGCCUUGUUUUUAAUAUACUAUUUUAAGCACCAAGUUCAUAUUUUAUUUAAUGUGCUGUUAAGUCUAAUUAGAUGGAUGGCAGCUGUUAUUCUUCUAGUUAGAGUCUUCUGCUUUCCUCUUUUUAUUUGCAGUUUCAUCUCCUUGAGUAAAGUUGCCAAAAUGGCACUGUUGAACCUUAAUAAUUAAGUAGGACCUGAUGGCUUAGUUUGCAGUCCAUUAUAGAAGUCCCUAGCUGGCAAUGGAAGUGCAGUGCCCUGCACAUAAACUUCUCUGCUGAACAAGAGGAGGGAGAGAUGAUCCCCAUGCCCUGUGACUGAUGACCCGGGAUCUUUCUCUCAAACAUUGCCAUUGAGAAACCAGGAAGCAAAGCAAUUCUAUGUUAAAAUUAUGCUGAAUACAACUUUGUCCGUCUGUGAAGAUACUCUUGUUUUAUGAGCAUGGGAAAUUUUUCUCAAAGCUCCAGGUUUAAAGAAGGAUGGAUUUCCAAGGUAUUUCACCAAAGGUGUUCUCUCUGUAAUCUCUGAUUAUUACUCAAUUAGUAGAGUUUUGAUAUGAAAUAAACACUGGAAUUUU